rnacentral:rRNA from 1 species
AUUGAACGCUGGCGGCAGGCCUAACACAUGCAAGUCGAGCGGGGCGCCGGACGGGUGAGUAAUGCCUAGGAAUCUGCCUCGUCGCGGGGGAGAACGUCCGGUAACGGGCGCUAAUACCGCAUACUCUCACCAUAGCCUAGGUCGGAUUAGCUAGAUGGUGGGGUAAAGGCCUACCAAGGCGACGAUCCGUAGCUGGUCUUAGAGGAUGAUCAGGCACACGGGAACUGAGACACGGUCCAGACUCCUACGGGAGGCAGCAGUGGGGAAUAUUGGACAAUGGGCGAAAGCCUGAUGCAGCCAUGCCGCGUGUGUGAAGAAGGUCUUCGGGUUGUAAAGUACUUUAAGCUGGGAGGCGUUACCACCAGAAGAAGCACCGGCUAACUCCGUGCCAGCAGCCGCGGUAAUAC